UUGAAGAGUUUGAUCAUGGCUCAGAUUGAACGCUGGCGGCAGGCCUAACACAUGCAAGUCGAGCGGUAGCACAGAGAGCUUGCUCUCGGGUGACGAGCGGCGGACGGGUGAGUAAUGUCUGGGAAACUGCCUGAUGGAGGGGGAUAACUACUGGAAACGGUAGCUAAUACCGCAUAACGUCGCAAGACCAAAGUGGGGGACCUUCGGGCCUCAUGCCAUCAGAUGUGCCCAGAUGGGAUUAGCUAGUAGGUGGGGUAACGGCUCACCUAGGCGACGAUCCCUAGCUGGUCUGAGAGGAUGACCAGCCACACUGGAACUGAGACACGGUCCAGACUCCUACGGGAGGCAGCAGUGGGGAAUAUUGCACAAUGGGCGCAAGCCUGAUGCAGCCAUGCCGCGUGUGUGAAGAAGGCCUUCGGGUUGUAAAGCACUUUCAGCGGGGAGGAAGGCGUUAAGGUUAAUAACCUUGGCGAUUGACGUUACCCGCAGAAGAAGCACCGGCUAACUCCGUGCCAGCAGCCGCGGUAAUACGGAGGGUGCAAGCGUUAAUCGGAAUUACUGGGCGUAAAGCGCACGCAGGCGGUCUGUCAAGUCGGAUGUGAAAUCCCCGGGCUCAACCUGGGAACUGCAUUCGAAACUGGCAGGCUAGAGUCUUGUAGAGGGGGGUAGAAUUCCAGGUGUAGCGGUGAAAUGCGUAGAGAUCUGGAGGAAUACCGGUGGCGAAGGCGGCCCCCUGGACAAAGACUGACGCUCAGGUGCGAAAGCGUGGGGAGCAAACAGGAUUAGAUACCCUGGUAGUCCACGCCGUAAACGAUGUCGAUUUGGAGGUUGUGCCCUUGAGGCGUGGCUUCCGGAGCUAACGCGUUAAAUCGACCGCCUGGGGAGUACGGCCGCAAGGUUAAAACUCAAAUGAAUUGACGGGGGCCCGCACAAGCGGUGGAGCAUGUGGUUUAAUUCGAUGCAACGCGAAGAACCUUACCUGGUCUUGACAUCCACAGAACUUUCCAGAGAUGGAUUGGUGCCUUCGGGAACUGUGAGACAGGUGCUGCAUGGCUGUCGUCAGCUCGUGUUGUGAAAUGUUGGGUUAAGUCCCGCAACGAGCGCAACCCUUAUCCUUUGUUGCCAGCGGUCCGGCCGGGAACUCAAAGGAGACUGCCAGUGAUAAACUGGAGGAAGGUGGGGAUGACGUCAAGUCAUCAUGGCCCUUACGACCGGGCUACACGUGCUACAAUGGCAUAUACAAAGAGAAGCGACCUCGCGAGAGCAAGCGGACCUCAUAAAGUAUGUCGUAGUCCGGAUUGAGUCUGCAACUCGACUCCAUGAAGUCGGAAUCGCUAGUAAUCGUAGAUCAGAAUGCUACGGUGAAUACGUUCCCGGGCCUUGUACACACCGCCCGUCACACCAUGGGAGUGGGUUGCAAAAGAAGUAGGUAGCUUAACCUUCGGGAGGGCGCUUACCACUUUGUGAUUCAUGACUGGGGUGAAGUCGUAACAAGGUAACCGUAGGGGAACCUGCGGUUGGAUCACCUCAUU
rnacentral:rRNA from 1 species